UACAGAGGGUGCGAGCGUUAAUCGGAGUUACUGGGCGUAAAGGGCGCGUAGGCGGUUUUAUAAGUGAGAUGUGAAAGGCCUGGGCUUAACCUAGGAACGGCAUCUUAGACUAUAGGACUAGAGUGCAGUAGAGGGUGGCGGAAUUUCCGGUGUAGCGGUGAAAUGCGUAGAGAUCGGAAGGAACACCAGUGGCGAAGGCGGCCACCUGGACUGUCACUGACGCUGAGGCGCGAGAGCGUGGGUAGCAAACAGGAUUAGAUACCCUGGUAGUCCACGCUGUAAACGAUGAGAACUAGAUGUUUGUUUGCGCGAGCGAAUGAGUAUCGAAGCUAACGCGAUAAGUUCUCCGCCUGGGGAGUACGGUCGCAAGAUUAAA
rnacentral:rRNA from 1 species